GAUGAACGCUGGCGGCGUGCCUAAUACAUGCAAGUCGAGCGAACAGACGAGGAGCUUGCUCCCCUGACGUUAGCGGCGGACGGAUGAGUAACACGUGGAUAACCUACCUAUAAGACUGGGAUAACUUCGGGAAACCGGAGCUAAUACCGGAUAAUAUAUUGAACCGCAUGGUUCAAUAGUGAAAGACGGUUUUGCUGUCACUUAUAGAUGGAUCCGCGCCGCAUUAGCUAGUUGGUAAGGUAACGGCUUACCAAGGCAACGAUGCGUAGCCGACCUGAGAGGGUGAUUGGCCACACUGGAACUGAGACACGGUCCAGACUCCUACGGGAGGCAGCAGUAGGGAAUCUUCCGCAAUGGGCGAAAGCCUGACGGAGCAACGCCGCGUGAGUGAUGAAGGUCUUCGGAUCGUAAAACUCUGUUAUUAGGGAAGAACAAAUGUGUAAGUAACUAUGCACGUCUUGACGGUACCUAAUCAGAAAGCCACGGCUAACUACGUG
rnacentral:rRNA from 1 species